GGGAACGUACCUUUUGGUUCGGAACAACACAGGGAAACUUGUGCUAAUACCGGAUAAGCCCUUACGGGGAAAGAUUUAUCGCCAAAAGAUCGGCCCGCGUCUGAUUAGCUAGUUGGUAGGGUAACGGCCUACCAAGGCGACGAUCAGUAGCUGGUCUGAGAGGAUGAUCAGCCACAUUGGGACUGAGACACGGCCCAAACUCCUACGGGAGGCAGCAGUGGGGAAUAUUGGACAAUGGGCGCAAGCCUGAUCCAGCCAUGCCGCGUGAGUGAUGAAGGCCCUAGGGUUGUAAAGCUCUUUUGUACGGGAAGAUAAUGACGGUACCGUAAGAAUAAGCCCCGGCUAACUUCGUGCCAGCAGCCGCGGUAAUACGAAGGGGGCUAGCGUUGCUCGGAAUCACUGGGCGUAAAGGGUGCGUAGGCGGGUUUUUAAGUCAGAGGUGAAAUCCUGGAGCUCAACUCCAGAACUGCCUUUGAUACUGGGAAUCUUGAGUAUGGAAGAGGUGAGUGGAACUGCGAGU
rnacentral:rRNA from 1 species